GGUAACCGACCGUGACAUAGAAAGAGAGAUAUUGGCGCCCCUCUCUCUCUCUUUCUCCGCCAACGGCGCCACAGCAUUGUUUGCUGCUUUCCUCCGCCCCCAUUCUUUCCUCCGCCCCCAUUCUUUCCUCUUCCACUUUUUUCCGAUCUGCAUUUGCAUUCUCUUUAGAUGCCGCUUUUCUCUCAGUCCUCGCCCUGCUGCACCGCCGCGGCGGUGGCGGCGAUUAACUCGUCGGACCGGAAGACGAAAUUCGCCUCAGCUGCAUGGAGGAAUUGCAAGGUCACAUCUCCACUUCUUCGUCUCUCCGAGAAUGACAAAUUCAACGUUUCUCGGUUAGCUCUUGGCCACUCUAGGCGGGGAGUUAAAGGCCAGACCAUAUCAAUGGCAUUAGUGGGCAACACUGUUGGGAAAAAAGGGGAGGUGGCCACCUCCUCUAGCAUCUUGGCAUAUGAUUUGAUUCAGGGGGAACUUGUGAGAUGGAGUUCUGUUAUGGACAGAUCUUUACCUGACCCACCAACAGCUGUUUUUCUGCAUGGAAUCCUAGGAUGCAGGAAAAACUGGGGAAGUUUUGCUAGGAGAUUGGCCCUAGAGUUUCCUACAUGGCAGUUCCUUUUAGUAGACCUACGAUGUCACGGUGAUUCAGCAUCAAUGAAGAAGAGAGAUCCCCAUACUGUAGCAUCUGCUGCUAGUGACGUUCUAAAACUAGUUCGAGAUCUAAGAAUAACACCUCGUGUGCUAGUUGGUCAUAGUUUUGGGGGGAAAGUUGUUUUGAGCAUGGUGGACCAAGCUGCAAAGCCUCUUGCUCGGCCAGUUAGAGCUUGGGUUCUGGAUGCAACGCCUGGAAAAGUUCGAGCUGGUGGAGAUGGAGAAGAUCAUCCAGCAGAACUUAUAUCCUUUCUAAGCACACUGCCCAAGGAGAUAUCUACAAAGCAGGAAGUUGUACGAGCUCUUAUCCAACAAGGAUUUUCCAAUGAUGUGGCACAGUGGGUUGUGACUAACCUGCGACCUUCCAGCUCUUGUGGUUCACAAUCGUCUGGCUUCGCAUGGGUGUUUGACCUAAGGGGGAUUGCAGAAAUGUAUCAAUCCUAUGAAGAAACAAAUUUGUGGAAAAUUGUUGAAGAUGUACCUCGUGGAGUGCAUAUGAACUUUUUGAAAGCAGAAAGAAGCUUGCAUAGAUGGGCUCUUGAAGAUCUUCGGCGGAUCCAUGCGGCUGAAGAGCUUGCAGCUGAGGAAGGAGGUGGAGUUGAAAUGCACGUCCUUGAAGAUGCUGGCCACUGGACAUUUUCAGGGUUUACCCCUAAGGCUUGGGAACAUUGCACGCUAUCAGCAGUCUUUCAUCUAAAGAUCAACGUUGUUAAAUGGCAGCACCAUGGUAGAAUACUGCAAGGGUGUGCGACAUAAUAUUGCCAACUACCUUGAGACAAUUCGUAAAGAGGGGUCUGCUAUGACGGUACAAUACUGCAAGGGUGCAUGCUGAUAACCCAGACGGACUCUUCAGGAUACUGUCAUCAUCUUUCCAGGGAGGCAAGACCUGAGAUUGCAAAUGUCUACUAGAUGGGAUUUUCCCUUCGAAGUUUGACGCCAUUCCUUCCCAUUUUCUUUGUUUAGUUAUCCCUUUUGUAUAUGCUAUUUUAUUUUUUUCACUGUAAUAAUUUUUAUCGUUACCCUAUUCAUUAAAUCUCCUCCUCUCCCAUGUUUUAUGUCA